UACAGAGGUCCCAAGCGUUGUUCGGAUUCACUGGGCGUAAAGGGUGCGCAGGCGGCCAAGUGUGUUAGGCGUGAAAGCCCGGGGCUUAACCCCGGAAUUGCACCUAAAACUACAUGGCUAGAGCAUUGGAGAGGGUAGCAGAAUUCAUGGUGUAGCAGUGAAAUGCGUAGAUAUCAUGAGGAAUACCAGAGGCGAAGGCGGCUACCUGGACAAUUGCUGACGCUCAGGCACGAAAGCGUGGGGAGCAAAAGGG
rnacentral:rRNA from 1 species